AUUAUUAUUGGAUGUGUACUGAAAACGUUAUAUAUAACAUCUUCUUAUUUAAUUAUCUACCUUCAUAGCCUAUCCACCUACUCUUCAAAUGAAAGAUUCUUUCAUAAGCCAAGAAGUAGGAAAAGGAGGGCCUUUACACACACUCUGUCCAGCCGGUUCUGGACAAUUGGCACCAAAACGUGGGGCCCAGAAGAUUGUGUUGUUAGGAGCAGCCACUACUGGAUCACAAAACCUCUGAAGAAAUAGAACUGCACAGUCCCGGAGACUAAGGAGAAGAAGGUCCGCACGGGUCCAUCCACUCCGGAGAAAGAGGCCUGGUGAGUGAGGUUUUCGAUAUGGGACAGGACAUUAGAGUACAUGAUAGGUUUAUUGAGGGUCUCAAAGACUCAUUAAGGGCGCAUAGAGUAAGGGUUAAGAAAAAAGAAAAAAAUUUAAAAUUUUUAAAUUUUUAGAAGAUGUUUGUCCAUAGUUCCCGCAGGAAGGAACCAUUGAUAUGAAAAGGUGGAAAAGAGUUGGAGAUUGCCUUAAUGAUUUUUAUAGAUAUAUAAAUUAUAUAGAUAUAUAGAACUUUUGGACCUGAAAGGUCCCUAUCACAGCUUUCAAUUUUUGGAAUUGCAUAAGCAGCCUACUUGCCACUUGCGCCCAUCAACAUGGUGAGGAUGUUAACAAAUGUUAACAAAGUUAUUCAGGACAGUUCCUCUUUUUUAAAAGAUGCCCUUAAGUGCACCAAUUCUAGGCUCGAAUUAAGUUCCCAUAACAAUGAAAAGGAGAUAACAGACAGGGGAAAAAAAUCUACCCCUCCAACAGCUUUUCUUUAACUUCCCCAAAUGAUGAGUCUUUAGACGCUGCAUCUAGUGUACUUUGGACUGAUAUGAGGGACUUUGGGAAUGAUUGAUGACUGACUGUUAAACCUUACCUGGAUCAUCUAUUACUGUGUGUUAAAGACUUGGGAUGGGAUUUGUUAAAACGGUGUAAUUAUUGCUGUUUUAUUUGAGGGCUUUUUAGGAAAUGCUACUGUACAAGUCUGUUAUGUAUAGGGAUUUUGAUUCACUCUUGGGGUUUAAAUAUGGGGAAUAGUCAUUUGAUGAUUCCUUUCCGUGAGAAAAAAUAAUAAUAAUAAAUAAAAAAUAAAAGGGGAAGGAAGAGAUAGAACAUUGGAGAAACUGGUGUAUUUUUUUUCAAAAUACCUGGAAGAAUGGGAACCGCUAGCUCCCAUUCACUUUGCUUUAGGCAUUUCUGCCCCACCCCCAUCUCACUAGUUCAGAUUGAAUUUGAAUGUUUUAGCUUUGGAAUCCCUUAUUUUGUUAAAAUUGCCCUGGCAGACUCAGUUUUUGGGAUUAUAUCUUUUAGAAAAGUUUUAGAAAUCAGACACCUGACUUGGGAUUGUCAGUCUCUCUGAUCUGUUUUUCUUCAGUCCUGUAACCCCAGUUCAUUAAUUAGUACCUCAGCAUUUCAAAGGACCUUGUUUGAUAUCAGGCAUUUAAAAAGUUUGGAGUUUGCCUGCCUUGAUGGUCUUACUGUGCAUAAUCUGCUCAGAAAUCUGUAUUCUAGUAGCAGCAGCUCUGGGCAGGGACACGUGAAGCUACUCCAAACCUUACCCUUCUCCCCUGGAGUGGGUUGAGCCCUUGGGCCCUGCUGUUAGUUAAGUGCACAAAUGACCACAGAUUUAAUUUCCAUCUCAAACUGGAUUCUCUGGCUGAGAGCUGUAAAACCUGACAUGUUAACUCUGUUACAGCUGUUAACUCUGGGGUUUUCAGGGGGAGACUUGCUCUUGCUAUAUGAGUUCUUACAUUUUUCUAGUUUUAUUUUGGGUUGGUCAAAAUUAUGGUGCUAAGACCUCCUGGGUGUCUAGAGGAAGGUGCUAAUAUUCAAAGGUUUGAAUAUUUAGGGGAGAGAGUAUGGAAUGUUAUGCCACAGUUCUCUUUAACUGUCCUGACUCAGUUUCCCUGCACUAGUUUCCCUUGUCUCAGUUUCCUUAACUGUUCUGUCUCAAUCUCCUAAACUGUAAAACUUCCCUUCCCCCCUGACCCAUUAAGACUGAGGACUAUUUGCUCUAAGGUUAUAAAUUAGCAAGAUAAACAAGAGAGUAGAUGUCUUGAUUCUUUUCUGGUUCUGUUCUGGUCUGUUUGCUAGCUAUCUGUGGUCUCAGAAUAAAACCCGAGGGGUUUAAAAGUUCUGAGAUGGGUAUUUUCUGGGACGCUGGAAAAUAUCCUCUAGGCAUGUGUUAUAUAUUUGUUUAAUGUUGUAACUAUGUAGUCUGUGUGAUGUGUGUUCUAUGUUCUGUGUGAUUUGUCUGUUUUGUUGUUGGUUGAAAAAUUUUUAAGAACAACAUUGCAACUGUGCUUAGUAUAAUGGAGCUCCACGUGUGUCUCUGUGUGUCUGUGUUAAAAGUUAGCAAUCUUGUAAGAGAUAAGGAUUCAGCCUGUGUGCAGGCUUAGAAAAUAUCAAGAAGCUUGAAAAAUCUUUCUCUCUCCUUCUGUCUCUGGCUGACUGCAGCAGCCUGUGAGAAAAAGGGAGAAAAGGGAGAGAAAGGAAGAAGAAGAAGAAAAAAAAGAAAUGAAUAAAAAAAAUAGAUUGAAAGUGAUUUGAAAGUUCGGAAAGUUAAAUAUAUAUAGAAGAACAGUGUGCUAACAUUUAAAGAAAAGAAGUUUGAAUGGAAUAUCUAGGCAUUCUCUGUGAAGGCAGAGAAAAGCACUAAACAGGCUUGGAAGUUCACAGAAGCCCCUUUGGAUUCUGGAAGAAAAAAAAAGGGAAUUCAAGGUGAAACAAACUUCUCUCUGGGGGUGGAGGUCCUGGAAAAAGCCCCUAGUCUGUUUGCUGAUUUAAGAGCUUUGUUAAGUCUUAAGAACAAUGAUUAAGGAAAAUUUGCUUGUGAUUUUAAACUUUUUUAAGGAAAAGCCUACUAGAGUAAAGAACAAUAAAAUUCAAGCUUAACCUGGCCUGGGCAAUAAAAAGCUCUGGAGAUAAGAUGCUAAUAGUGGUUAGAAGAAAUGUGGUAGAAAAGAAAAAAAAAAAACUUUUAAAAAACAGCUGUAUUAGUUUGAUUCAGUUUGUUACCUUUUGAAAUAUAUUGAGUUAUUUGUUAACAUAAGUCAUACUUUAAAUCCAGUUCUGCUGGACAUGUGUGGGUUUUAUGGAGGUUUGGGCUAUUCACUAUAGUGUGAAUCUUAUAGGUUUUUGAAGGAAGGAGAAGGUUUGGAACUUGGUAGAUUUGGGAAGAAAGUAAAUAAACUGAUGGGCUAAAUCUUGAAAAGGAUCCUCAUCUAGGAAUUUGAAUGGGGAACCUGAGGGAAGUUUUUUCUAGGGGGCCAGGAGUGGGGGAAGGGUGGCCAUGUGGAAUCCUCUCUUCCCUUCACCCCUCUAAGUGUGUUCCUACCGUUUUUUUUUUUUUUCUUAUCUGAUCACGGACAGUGCAGCAAACUGAUCUUUAAGGGCAUGCUUACUUUUAAUUGAUUGAAUAUUUGUUUUUGAUACAUAAAGGUUUUCUUGUUUAAGGAAUAUGGUCAUAAAUGUGAUCCAUACUUUGGUAGGAAUAUUUCUAAAAGUUUAAUUGCUAUUUUUAAGAAACUUCUUGAAUUCUUUUAUGUGGAACUGGGUCUUUUGUAUAAGUUUAAAUUGAUUGUAUUGGGUCAUCCUGAAGUUAUUUAAAGGGCCUCUGAACAUAAUAGAUUUUUUUUUCUUUGUCCUUUUGAAAAUGUUUCUGUUAUGGACAAUAUACAAUUUGGGAUAUUUUUUCUAUGUAUUGGGUAUUUUAAAAGCAAAAUGAUUUGUAUGUAUAAUGUUCACUCAUGUAACAUCUAUCUAGAUAUGAUAAUUGUUCUAAGUUGUGAACUUAUUGAGACAAAAUUUCUUUCUGUUAUUACUGUAAAGUUAUGAUAAAUCUUUGUUUAAGAGUUAUCUGAAAUUUGAUUAAUGGAAUUUGUUAUUGGGGUAAAAAUUCUUGGGCUUAUAGUUAAUUAGUUAAUGCUAUUUGGGAGUUUUAAAGCUUCACCCUCUGACAAUUACUGGGACAAUUGAUAAGCAGUUAAAACUCAACUGCUUAUGUUAUGUUAUUAUGUUCUUGCAUUUUUCCUUCUGUAACUGAUCUCUAUGAUCAGAGCAAUGGUCAAUAGAACUGUUAAUGCAAUUCAAUUAUGUCAUAUCUUGCUAUUUUCAGUCUGGUUAUAUGUAUUGUAUCCUAAAUGCUUGGGCAACUGAGUAUUUUGCCUGGUCAUCUGUCUGUUACUGGAUAUUUGUGAUUUGUUUCUUUAAGGUUUCUACAUGAUAAGAGGACAAUUAAUAAUGGUCUGUAAGACUGCAGCUGUUUGCCUGGCCUGUAAAGCAAACUCAUUUCUUCACAUAGGAAACAAUUUAUUUUGGCCUCCUCAUCUUUUGCAGCAGUCUGGUGAACUGAGUCUUUCUAUCUAAGACUGAUCUAAUCUUUCUUUGUUAGAUUUGUGUUUUUUGUUCUAGAUUUUGGUCAAAUUACAGAUAUUGGCUUGCUUCUGGGACCUGGAUCAGCUUUGAUCAGUUUUGACUGUCAGCAUGGCACACCCACAUUUCACAGCGUGGAGCAGCAGUUUUUAAAAUGAAACCAUGGACUGGCACCUGUGUCCAGGCCCUCCCCAGUACUAUAAGUGAUCUUCAGGAUCAGAUCUAUAGUUUAGCUGAAGUUGUCUUGUGAAACAGAUGAGGCCUGGACCUCCUCACUGCAGAACAAGGAGGGAAUAUGUUUAGCCCUCCAAGAACACUGUUGCUUCUAUGCAAACAAAUCUGGUAUUGUUAGGGACAAAAUUAGGAAACUCCAGGAAGACCUGGUUAAGCAGGGCAAGGAACUCUUUGACAACCCUCUUUGGAGUGGGCUCCAUGGGAUCCUCCCUUAUAUCCUUCCCUUACUUGGGCCUUUAAUUGGCUUUCUCGUACUUUUGUCCUUUGGACCCUGGGCUUUCCGGAAAAUCACAUCCUUUGUAAAGUCCCAGAUAAAUAAUGCACUGGCAAAAUGGGUGGCAAAACCCAUUCACAUACACUAUUAUCGUCUUGAGACUGAUGAUGACCCCUUUGAUGCUCAUAUGAGCAAUCAAAAUUUCCAAAAAACAUUGAGACCUGAUUAGCCAAUGACAGGUAAGAUCCCUCAAGGACUAGCCAAUCUAAGCCAGGAAGAAAUGUUUUUGUACAUCCUUCUUAGACGGGUAAGAUUUCUCCCCUUGGAACAACCUAAGCCAGGCACAGGUCGGGAAGUGAAAAAUUCUAUUCUUUAUAUAAAUAUAAAAAGGGGGACCUGUGGGGAGCCGGCACUAAUCUAUAGGUGAUAAAGCCACAUUCCUAAGACUCCUCUAACCUUGAACAAACAGACAUCUAGACGCCUCCUGGAGCUUCCUACAUCAUCAAAGGCCCCUGGUCAACUCCUCUUUCAGCGGGAAACAAAUCCUUUGUCUAGGGUCCCCUCUGUACUGAGUUUGCACGACCCCCACUCCCUCACAAACCACCAUAAAUACUUGUACUUUUGCCCACAAUAAACGAGACUUGAUCAGAAA